rnacentral:rRNA from 1 species
UCCCUUGAAAUUAUAUGGGAUCUUGCCUGCCCAGUGAGUAUUAUACUUUAACGGCCGCAGUAUCUUGACUGUGCAAAGGUAGCAUAAUCAGUUGUCUUAUAAUUGAAGACUAGAAUGAAUGGCUUUAUGAAGAUAAGACUGUUUCCUUCACAAAAAAGAAAAUUAUUUUAGAGGUAAAAAAACCUUUAUUUAAAAGAAAGACGAGAAGACCCCGUUAAGCUUUAAUAUGAAAGUAAUAUUUACUUUAUGUUUUAAAAACUAAUUUAUUAUUUUUUUAUUUUGAUUGGGGCGAUCAAGGAAUAAAAAAACUUCCUUAAAUUAUUUAAAAGAUGUUUUAAAGACCCGAAAUUUUCGGCUAAUAAACUAAGUUACUACGGGGAUAACAGCGUUAUUUUUUCUAAGAGUCCUUAUUAAAGAAGAAGUUUGCGACCUCGAUGUUGGCUUAGGAUAACCUUGGAAUGCAGAAGUUUCAAAUGGUAAGUCUGUUCGACUUUUAAUGU